rnacentral:rRNA from 1 species
GACGAACGCUGGCGGCGUGCUUAACACAUGCAAGUCGAACGGAAAGGCCCUGCUUUUGUGGGGUGCUCGAGUGGCGAACGGGUGAGUAACACGUGAGUAACCUGCCCUUGACUUUGGGAUAACUUCAGGAAACUGGGGCUAAUACCGGAUAGGAGCUCCUGCUGCAUGGUGGGGGUUGGAAAGUUUCGGCGGUUGGGGAUGGACUCGCGGCUUAUCAGCUUGUUGGUGGGGUAGUGGCUUACCAAGGCUUUGACGGGUAGCCGGCCUGAGAGGGUGACCGGCCACAUUGAGACUGAGAUACGGCCCAGACUCCUACGGGAGGCAGCAGUGGGGAAUAUUGCACAAUGGGCGGAAGCCUGAUGCAGCAACGCCGCGUGCGGGAUGACGGCCUUCGGGUUGUAAACCGCUUUCGCCUGUGACGAAGCGUGAGUGACGGAAAUGGGUAAAGAAGCACCGGCUAACUACGUG